AUUGAACGCUGGCGGCAGGCCUAACACAUGCAAGUCGAGCGCGCGGCGGACGGGUGAGUAAUGUCUGGGAAACUGCCUGAUGGAGGGGGAUAACUAUUGUAAACGGUAUCUAAUAUCGCAUACCAUCAGAUCUGCCCAGGUGGGAUUAGCUAGUAGGUGGGGUAACGGCUCACCUCGGCGACGCGCCCGAGCUGGUCUGAGAGGAUGACCAGCCAAACUGGAACUGAGACACGGUCCAUACUCCUACGGGAGGCAGCAGUGGGGAAUAUUGCACAAUGGGCGCAAGCCUGAUGCAGCCAUGCCGCGUGUGUGAAGAAGGCCUUCGGGUUGUAAAGCACUUUCAGCGGGGAGGCGUUACCCGCAGAAGAAGCACCGGCUAACUCCGUGCCAGCAGCCGCGGUAAUAC
rnacentral:rRNA from 1 species